UACGAAGGGGGCGAGCGUUGUUCGGAAUUACUGGGCGUAAAGGGCGCGCAGGCGGCCCUUGAAGUCAGGCGUGAAAGCCCCGGGCUUAACCUGGGAACUGCGUUUGAAACUACAAGGCUAGAGUGUGGCAGAGGGGGUGGAAUUCCACGUGUAGCAGUGAAAUGCGUAGAUAUCAGGAGGAAUACCGAUGGCGAAGGCAGGAUCUCGUGGGCUGGACACUGACGCUCGAUGCACGAAAGCGUGGG
rnacentral:rRNA from 1 species